AAACAUCUCUCCAAACUUAUUUAGAAAUUAGAAUUGGCGCGCGCUUGGGAUUCCAAAGUCAAUAGCGAAAAAACAAAGCUGCUAGGUAUAACGUCUCAAUCGCGCUUCGUGGCAGACAAAUAUACAAAUCAUCAAUACAUCAUCAUAAUUUUUAAAAUAAUCAAUCUAUCAAUCUUACUACAGAGAGACCCUAAUCCCAAACUUUCCUGCAGCUAUAUCCUUCUCUCCCUCUCCGAUGCCAAACCUCCCCCCCCUCUCUCGAUCGCCUCCGUUAAUGUUACAAUUAUAUGGACAGCUCCGGCGUCGGCGAUUCUCCGAAAUUACCGCCGGAUAAGGAGAGAGAUGCGGAGUCGCCAUGGCCGCCGGCCGUGGUGGAGGCGGAGUGUUUCUCCAAUGUCCGGCUCACAGACGCUCCCAUACUUUUGCUUGUUCAUUUCCACAAGGCACUGCGGGUGGAGAUAGCUGACCUCCGCCGUCUGGCAGUCACGGCCUCCCAGGCUGAGAGUGAGGCUCGUCGACCCGAGCUGGUAGUUGAGCUCCGUCGAAGAUUCGAUUUUCUCAAACUUGCGUAUAAGUAUCACACAGCUACCGAAGAUGAGGUUAUCUUUCUUGCAUUAGAUACCUGCAUUAAAAAUGUUGCCCGUACAUAUUCGCUUGAGCAUGAAAGCAUCCAUGACCUCUUUGGAACUAUUUUUCAUUGGUUGGACCGAUUGGAGGAAAAUAAAAGUGGUUUGGAGCCCUUUCAGGAACUUGUAGUUUGCAUCGGCACCAUGCAGUCCUCCAUUUGUCAGCAUAUGCUGAAAGAAGAAGAGCAGGUUUUUCCUUUGCUUAUGCAGCAGUUCUCUCCCAGUGAACAGGCUUCACUUGUGUGGCAGUUCAUUUGCAGCGUCCCUGUGAUUGUGCUGGAGGAUUUGUUGCCAUGGAUGUACUCCUUUUUUUGUCCAGAAAAACAAGUGGAGACUGUACAAUGCAUCAGACAAAUGGUACCCAAGGAAGAAUCAUUGCAAGAGGUGGUAAUUUCUUGGCUCCUUAGAAAUGAUCAAUCCUCUCCUAGGGCUUGCAUCAGGAUUAGACAAGGAAAUCAGGAUGUACCCAACAAGAUGAAAAGCAUACUGCAAUUGCAAUCCUCUAAGAGGCUUUUGGAACAAAAUCAACGAAGAAGGAAACAUUGUGUCCAAACUGACGUUGGAAAAAGUCUGGUUGAUUAUCUACAUCUUUGGCAUGUUGCCAUCCAGAAAGAGUGGAAAGAAAUUUUGGAAGAGUUGUAUCAGAUUAGAACCUUAAUCAGUGCUUUAACUGUAGAUUCAAUACUCUUCAGGCUGAAAUUUCUCGCUGAUGUGAUUAUCUUUUACAGCAUUGCAUUGAAGAGGUUCUUUUUCCCUGUGUUAAAGCUUGCGAACAAACACAUGUUCCCUUCCUCCAGUGAGCAGUCCUCCAUUGAAAAUCACAUAGAAAGCCUACACAAGUUGCUGUAUUGUCAAAAGGGCUUACCAUCAUGCAAGUUUGUAGAGAAGCUUUGCCAAGAAAUGAAAUCUUUGGCGAUGGAUCUUACCAAACAAUUUAUUUUUUAUGAAACCAAGGUAUUUCCCUUUAUUAGCAACAACUGCAGCCUUGAAACACAGCUGCAGAUUUUGUACAUGAGCCUUCAUGUUAUGCCACUGGGGUUACUGAAGUGUGCAAUCACUUGGUUUGCAAUUCACUUGUCUAAAAAUGAAUCCAGGUCCAUUCUUGAUAGCAUGAAUUUGGGGGAAGUUUUAGCCAACAAAUCUUUCACUUCCCUUUUACUUGAGUGGUUCCACAUCGGUUAUUCAGGCAAAACCUCCAUGGAAAAUUUCUGCAAGGAUUUGGAGAAAGUGUUCAGGAGCAGAUAUUCUAUUCUACCUGAGCAAAUCAAGGAUGUUGUUUCCUUAUCCUCACAGACUCAGACUUGUAAAGAAUCUAAAUCUAAUAAUAUAGAACUGGUCUCUGCGAACAAGGGUAAAAAUUUUCUUUCUUAUGCUUUAUCUCCUGGUUCCCACAGAGGUAAGGCAUGUGACACAUCCUACACUAGCGAAAUAAAUCUGCACAUAUUUUUUCCUGGAACAUUAUGGGCAUCGGAUGCUUUUCUUAAAUUGCCUGGUGGAGAGAGUUCUUCAGCUCCAACUAUCAAUCAACCAAUACCGUUGGAUUUCAUUUUUUUCUUCCACAAGGCUCUCAUGAAAGACUUGGAAGACCUUGUCUUUGGUUCGGUUAAACUAGCUGAAAACAUCGGAUUCCUAACAGAGUUCCACCGACACUUCCAUCUCCUGCAGUUUUGGUAUCAAUUCCAUAGUGAUGCAGAGGAUGAAAUUGUCUUUCCAGCCCUGGAAGCUAAGGAAGAAGUUCGAAACAUUAGCCACUCCUACACCAUUGACCACAAGCUUGAAGUUGAAUACUUUAAUGAAGUUAGCCACUUGUUAGAUAAGAUGUCUGAACUGCACAUUUCCGCUUCUACUGAUGAUUUGGAAAAGCAGGAUCAGAUACUGGUGAAACACAAUCGACUAUGUAUGAAACUCCAUUAUACAUGCAAGUCAAUGCAUAAACUACUGUCUGACCAUGUUCAUCGAGAAGAAGUUGAACUUUGGCCCAUGUUUAGAGAAUGCUUCUCCAUCCAAGAGCAAGAAAAGAUCAUUGGACGCAUGCUAGGGAACAUUAAAGCCAAAACGUUACAAGAUAUGAUACCCUGGCUUCUUGGUUCUUUAACACCUGAGGAACAACGUGAAAUGAUGUCUUUAUGGCGUAAUGUGACAAAAAAUACAAUGUUUGAUGACUGGUUGCGAGAAUGGUGGGAAGGGUAUGACAUAGCUCAUGUGGCAACGGAGUUGAAUACUUCAUGUACUCCUGAUCCUCUGGAUAUUAUUGCAAGAUAUCUGCCUACAGAAGCCUUUGACAAACAAGGUGAUGAUCUCUAUGAUACCAUUGAGUUUUCACAAAGAGACUUUUAUAGUGUUAAUAUUGAGAAGCAAGAAGAAGAAAGUUUCGAUGAUAAAGUAAAUAUACAUAAUGGAGAUCGAAACAAUGAUGAAUGUUCAGAAUGUAAAAAACUACUUUGCGAGGGUGACAAGGAGAGAUUUAAUGAAGUUUCUAAUCUUACAAAUAAGACUGAUAAACCAGGCCAGCCUUUUCAAUUAACUCUGAAGUCCAAGUAUCACGAGCGGCUUCUGAAAAUGAGUCAGGACGAUAUGGAGGCAGCAAUAAGAAGAGUAUCUCGCGAAUCAUCCUUGGAUCAUCAGAAGAAAUCAUUCAUAAUCCAGAACCUGAUAAUGAGCCGUUGGAUUGUUCAUCAAAAGAUAUCUCAUACAGAAGUAACCAUCUCAAGUAAUGGUGGGGAAGAAAUUCCAGGUCAGCAUCCAUCUUAUCGGGAUUCUCCUGAACCAAUCCUGGGUUGCAAACACUAUAAAAGAAACUGUAAGCUUGUCAUGCCUUGUUGUAACAAGAUUUAUACGUGCAUACGUUGCCAUGAUGAGUUGGCUGAUCAUUCAACUGAUAGGAGAGCUAUUACAAAGAUGAUGUGCAUGAAAUGCUUGAUUAUACAGCCAAUUGGAGAAACAUGCUCAACUGUCUCCUGUAAUAAUUUAUCGAUGGGAAGAUACUAUUGCAGGAUCUGCAAAUUGCUUGAUGAUGAAAGGGAAAUCUACCACUGCCCUUACUGUAAUCUCUGCCGAGUGGGGAAGGGAUUGGGCAUCGAUUACUUUCAUUGCAUGAAUUGCAAUGCCUGCAUGGCAAGGUCUCUUUCCGUUCAUGUAUGCAGAGAAAAAUGUCUGGAGGACAACUGUCCAAUUUGCCAUGAAUACAUUUUCACAUCAAGCACUCCUGUGAAAGCCCUUUAUUGUGGUCAUUUGAUGCACUCAACAUGUUUUCAGGAAUAUACUUGCACUCACUACACCUGCCCAAUCUGUAGCAAGUCACUUGGAGACAUGCAGGUGUACUUUCAGAUGUUGGAUGCAUUACUGGCUGAAGAAAAAAUUCCAGAUGAAUACUCUGGACAAACUCAGGUUUAUAGAUCUCCUUCCCUCAUUAUUCUUGCGAAAUGUUAUAAAAUAUAUCCUUUGAUGGAUUGUGAAAGGGAUUGCAGUUUAUACUCUGUAAUGACUGUGAGAAGAAAGGAGCUGCUCGUUUCCAUUGGCUAUAUCGCAAAUGCCCAUACUGUGGCUCAUACAACACCAGGCUUCUAUGACUCUUGUUGAUGCAAAGUGCGCAAGGACAGCACGGAGCUCUUCUUCGGCCUGCCGAAUCUGGAAAUGCAGUUUACAGAUGAUGCCCCAGCAGCCAUGAACAGGAAACCUGUCGCGAAUAUUGGCCUGGUAAAUGAUAGAACGCAUUGCUUCCUCGUGUUGGUGAGGAUCAAGAUUCUCAAGUAUCUUGAGGAUUUUGCGCACACCAAACAACUUAUGAGUAUUUUGGAACAACCUCGGUUGGUCAGGAGGGAAGUAAGGCGCUAGAGGACACUCAGGGGAGCACUUUCUCCUUUGAUACUUGCACGAAGCACAAGCUUGGCUGGUGCCUCCCUUAAGAGUCAUGUUGUGAACAUCAAAGAAGAUGAUAAGAGCAUGAAUGGUUAAUGAGAGAGGAGGUAUACAUUAAGGAAAUUUAUUAAUAACAGUGGGGAAGAGGGAGAGGGAGAGGGAGAGGGAGAGAGACGUGUGAUUGUUUUAGUAGUUUAUUAAACUGAAAUGGUUAAAACGUAAAACAUUUUGGUGCUGAACGAGUCUGAUAGGAGCGGAUUUGCUGGAUGUGAAGAGACUGAGUAAAAAGAGAAGAUUAACGAAGAUCAAAGAGAGCGAUUAUGGCGGAGGUUUGGACUGUUUUACCAGGUGCGGGGAAUCCUUUGGCCUGUCCAAAAGUCUUUCCCGUCUUUAAGGUUGUCAUGGGGUGCCAUGGAGUUUUAAAGCUCUGCUAUAGUAAGCCUUGCAAUUGAGCCUCUAAUAGCUAGCUUGCCCUUGACAUUAUAUAUAUAUAUAUAUGUCAAGGGCACACUUCAGAAUGUUCCUUUGUUAAGGUAAGGUUAAUUGGCCAUUUUAAAUUUAGUUUUUAAUGUUCAUUUAAAUAAAUUGAGCUUGAGCUCUAGCUCGAGUAGAGUUUGACUUAAUUAUUUUUUAAAA